UACAGAGGAGCCAAGCGUUGUCCGGAUUCAUUGGGCGUAAAGCGCGCGUAGGCGGCUCCGCAAGUCGAACGUGAAAUCCCCGAGCUCAACUCGGGAACUGCGUCCGAUACUGGUGGGCUUGAAUCCGGGAGAGGGAUGCGGAAUUCCAGGUGUAGCGGUGAAAUGCGUAGAUAUCAGGAAGAACACCCGUGGCGAAGGCGGCUCUCUGGGACGGUACUGACGCUGAGACGCGAAAGCGUGGGGAGCAAACAGG
rnacentral:rRNA from 1 species